UACGUAGGGAGCAAGCGUUGUCCGGAAUCAUUGGGCGUAAAGCGCGCGUAGGUGGCCUCAUAAGUCCGCUGUGAAAGUCAAAGGCUCAACCUUUGAAAGCCGGUGGAUACUGUGGGGCUAGAGUACGGAAGAGGCGAGUGGAAUUCCUGGUGUAGCGGUGGAAUGCGCAGAUAUCAGGAGGGACACCAAUAGCGAAGGCAGCUCGCUGGGACGUUACUGACACUGAGGCGCGAAAGCGUGGGGAGCGAACAGG
rnacentral:rRNA from 1 species